ACCCAUCUGUAGUUUUUUCGCCGAAGCCAUCUUUCAACCAAGGACCAUGAGGUCCUCGGUGUUAUCCGGUAUUAGCUCCGGUUUCCCGAAGUUAUCCCAGUCUUACAGGCAGGUUGCCCACGUGUUACUCACCCGUCCGCCGCUAACUUCAGGGAGCAAGCUCCCAUCCGUCCGCUCGACUUGCAUGUAUUAGGCACGCCGCCAGCGUUCGUCCUGAGCCAGGAUCAAACUCUAAUCUAGAUGCAUCGCAGUCGC
rnacentral:rRNA from 1 species